UUUAUCACAAUCUGCAUCUUCUACACCCAUUCGAUUAGUUUCAUCUCCUCUCUUCAUGCUUAAAUUCUAUCUCUUUGAAGGCUUACUAUUUGACAAAAAAAUGAAAUUUCAAUCGUUGUUCUUCUUCCUUGGGGUCCUCACAUUUUCAUCAGGCUUGAUUUUUUAUGAUUUUACUGCCUCUUUUGUUCUUCUUCUCUGUUGUUCUUCGUCCUCCCUCUUGCAUGCAAGGUGUUUGAGACCCUUUCUCUUCUUCUGCCUCUCCCUCUUCCUCUCUAAGCAGCCAUCCAACUACUUGAUCUAAUCAUCCUCCAAGCACUCUACCUUGACUCUUCUCUGGAGUUUUGAUCUGAUGCAGGUCUCCACUAAAUCAAGGGUCUAGCAUUCCUGGAGUUUCAAUUUGUUGGAGGUUUCCACUAAUCAAGAGGCUAUGGAGCAACUGAAAUUAGUAGCAAGUUUUGAAAAUAGUCUUAACGAACCUGAUGCCCUUUUCGACAAGCGAGAUCCAGAGCACAAUAUGUUAGUAAGUUAACUCAUGUCCUGUUUUGUGUCAAUGCUUGCUAUUACAUAUGAUGCGCAUAUUUCAUUCUUGGUUGAGGGAUUGGAAAUGUUUUAAAAUAAGCUUGGCUUUGUUCACCACUUAAUGGAUAAAAUGUAUCUUCUAGGAAUAUGUCUUAGCCAUUGAGGAGAUCUUCAAAUGCAAAGUUACAAAUGUGAUGUUUAUGGGAACACGUCUUGGCAUAUUGUGGCGAACACGUCUUGGGCAGCCAAUGAUAAAUUUUGAUUAUGUAUUUUGGUUAUGAUUUAAUCAAUUCAUUUGGAUUAUGCAUACUUUGUAUUCAUUUCAUUUUGCUUCCAUCUCUUAAUUAUUUUUCUUUUGUUGAUACUCAUUUUUUUCUUUAAGAAGAGGAAAAUGAAAAAGAGCUUACUGCCUCUUCUUGGCCUGUCCAAUCUAACUCUAGCUAAAGAGUGAAUUAUAGGAGUAAAAUUUAUAACUUUGCUCUGACCUUAACCUAAGGACCCCUAAAAAAAAUA